rnacentral:rRNA from 1 species
GACGAACGCUGGCGGCAUGCCUAAUACAUGCAAGUCGAGCGAACAGAUGAAGUGCUUGCACUUCUGACGUUAGCGGCGAACGGGUGAGUAACACGUAAGGAAUCUACCUAUAAGCGGGGGAUAACAUUCGGAAACGGGUGCUAAUACCGCAUAAUAUCUUCUUCCGCAUGGAAGAAGAUUGAAAGACGGCUCUGCUGUCACUUAUAGAUGACCUUGCGGUGCAUUAGUUAGUUGGUGGAGUAAUGGCCUACCAAGACGAUGAUGCAUAGCCGACCUGAGGGGGUGAUCGGCCACAUUGGGACUGAGACACGGCCCAAACUCCUACGGGAGGCAGCAGUAGGGAAUCUUCCGCAAUGGGCGAAAGCCUGACGGAGCAAUGCCGCGUGAGUGAAGAAGGCCUUCGGGUCGUAAAACUCUGUUAUAAGAGAAGAACAAAUUGUAGAGUAACUGCUACAGUCUUGACGGUAUCUUAUCAGAAGGCCACGGCUAACUACGUGCCAGCAGCCGCAGUAA